GUAGCUCUUUGCAAAAGUGACAAGGUAUUUGCGGUUGCCUCAAAAGACAUGGAUACUUUAACUUUUGGGGCACCAAGGUUUCUCCGUCAUUUAAUGGAUUCUAGUUCCAAAAAAAUCUCUGUGAUGGAAUUUGAAGUUUCAAAGGUCGGGCAAUUCGUGAGGCUUGAGUUUUUUUGAUGCAAGAAGUGAGCUUUGUUAGGAUGUAG